AAUGAACGCUGGCGGCGCGCCUAAUACAUGCAAGUCGAACGGAGUGUGUAGCAAUACUCACUAAGUGGCGAAUGGGUGAGUAACACGUAGGUGACCUGCCCUGAAGUGCGGAAUACAGUCCGAAAGGAUUGCUAAUACCGCAUGGUGGUCCCGGGCGUUAGAGAACCGGGUCUAAAGCAGUAAUGCGCUUCAGGAGGGGCCUGCGGUCCAUCAGCUAGUUGGUAGGGAAU
rnacentral:rRNA from 1 species